rnacentral:lncRNA from 1 species
CCUGUGGUCACCAUGUGGUCCAUCUAUUUUUUCAGCAUUACCCUGAAGCAAUGAAAAUAGCUCCAGGGAAGGAGAUAGGUUAGGCUUUGUAUGACUGUUUUUCUGGUCCUCAUCUCCAGGAAGGCCCAUCCUGUGCCUUCAUCUGCCCCCUGAAUGAGAAAUUUUCCAUGUUGACUCCUUCCCUAGGUCCUCCCAGGAUGGUACUGACAGUGAAUUGCAACUGAGCGAGCAAAGGGAAGAGGACACACUUUUGAUCUUUUUUUUUUUUUUUUUUUUUCCAGCCAGCAUCAAUAAGGAGCAGGUUUUAGAGGGUGGAGCAUCUGACCUGUCUAAUUUUAUCGAUCCACCACUGCCAGGCCAUGACUUGCUGAGGCAAUGCGGAGUCAAGUGAGAAGAAAGGGAGAGGGACACCGGAGACUUUGAGUCAUACCCUGAGAUUACUGCACAUGACCCAGCCUGCUUCAAGGAUUGCCACUGUGUAGUGCUGUACUCACGGUCACGUGGAAACUGCUGAGGGAAAAGGCCUUUCUGAAAUAUCAGACUGACUUCCUUUUGGGGUGUGGAAACAGAGACCUAAGACAUGCAAGAACACCAUGGAAGAUGCAUUUCCUUUGCCCACUGUUUGGAAGACUCAUUUAUAUUGCUCAGAGAUGUAUAAAGAUGUGGUGGGGCAUGAGGGGGAAGAAGGGAGGAGAGAGGAGAUAGCAGGAGGAGUGUUCCAGUGUUGAUCAGGAUGCAGUAACUAAUAACCCAAGCAGAACCAUAAAGAAAAACAAAAUGUUCAGACUGCUGAGAUGAAUAAGGGAGUCAAG